CAACUUUUAACAACGGAUCUCUUGGUUCUCGCAUCGAUGAAGAACGUAGCAAAGUGCGAUAACUAGUGUGAAUUGCAUAUUCAGUGAAUCAUCGAGUCUUUGAACGCAACUUGCGCUCAUUGGUAUUCCAAUGAGCACGCCUGUUUCAGUAUCAAAACAAA
rnacentral:rRNA from 1 species